AGGUAAGGAAAACUAUGUUCCGAUCUUCGAUCUCGCUGCGGGUCCUGCUCAAGAAAUGUGGACAACCGGACUGUCAGCUGAUUCAUACGGCUCUGGCCGGAUCCGGGAUGCUGUGAAUGUGAUCAUUUUCACUUCCUUGUCGCCGUCAUCAAUCGUCGAUGGCCGUCGACCAAUCGAAGUAACUGAGGAAACCAGCAGUGCCGCUGCAAUGGUCAUGGCUUCCGGAUCGUCCCCAAGCAAACAAUUUGUUGAUGUCCAAUCCGACUGGCAGUCGGGGAAUAUAUCGGUUGCAGUACAGCAGAGGGAGUAAAAUGCAUCGACUAUAGCUGGAAGGGCUACUCGCCUUUGUUUUCCCACAACAACGCAGCAUUUGACAUCAAAUGGCAUCGAUUUUCGUGCCGCUCGAUUAUGUUAUUUAUACGGUAACUCUGGAACUGUAUUUCACUGGAUCCAAAGUUCGUUCGAUUACGCUGCAUUUUGCCGUUAAAUGGACAAACGGUCAGGACAACAAAUCAUAAUUUAUGAUCAUCGACAGUGAAAUUCACCAUUCUACGAAUCUGCUCAAGCGCACCCAUAAAUCGGCAUAAAUCGUAAUAAUUUUUAUUGUUUAAAUUCCUAUAGAAAUAAGAUAUGAACAAUUAAAUAAUAUUUUAUAUGCAAAUGUA